GGUUAAGUGACUAAGCGUACACGGUGGAUGCCUUGGCAGUCAGAGGCGAUGAAGGACGUACUAACUUGCGAUAAGCCAUGAUGAGGCAGUAAGAGCCGCAUGAGUCAUGGAUUUCCGAAUGGGGAAACCCACUCUGUUUACAGAGUAUCUUGCACUGAAUACAUAGGUGCAAGA
rnacentral:rRNA from 1 species